AGCAGCCGCGGUAAUUCCAGCUCCAAUAGCGUAUAUUAAAGUUGUUGCAGUUAAAAAGCUCGUAGUUGAAUUUCGGGAUCAAUUAGUCGGUCGUGCCUCUGGUACGUACUGGUUUUAUUGGUUCCUCCCUUCUGACGAAACAUGAUGUCAUUAAUUUGGUGUCGUGGAGAAUCAGGACUGUUACCUUGAAAAAUUAGAGUGUUUAUAGCAGGCUAACGCUUGAAUACAUUAGCAUGGAAUAAUGAAAUAGGACGUUCGACCCUAUUUUGUUGGUUUCUAGGAUCGACGUAAUGAUUAAUAGGGAUAGUUGGGGGCAUUAGUAUUCAAUUGUCAGAGGUGAAAUUCUUGGAUUUAUUGAAGACUAACUACUGCGAAAGCAUUUGCCAAGGAUGUUUUCAUUAAUCAAGAACGAAAGUUAGGGGAUCGAAGACGAUCAGAUACCGUCGUAGUCUUAACCAUAAACUAUGACCGACUAGGGAUCGGAUGAUGUUAAUUUUUAAUGUACUCAUUCGGCGCCUUA
rnacentral:misc_RNA from 1 species